AGCCCUGGGGUGGAACGCCCCUUUGCCUGGCAUGGCUUAAGGCAGCCCCCUGAACGCCGGCGUCCUCGGCCCGGCAGGGCGGCGAGGCAGGGGCUGCAGGCUGGGCGGGCGGACAGGACAAGGGCGCCUCGGGGCCCCUGCUUAGGAACCUGCCCUGGAAGCACAAAUGUCAGUGACAUGUCAGCUCCCAACUGACGAGGGGCUGACCCACAGGCCCGGCGCUGAGCUGCGCUGGCACUGCUCCACCCGCUGUGUUCCAGUGUGUUCUCGAACCUAACAGAAACCUCCAGAGUGCAAAUCUAUGUACAGAGUAAGGCGGCAGGAAGGGGGUCCUCACUGACCUCGUGGAACAUGUCCAUCCCUGAGAAAGGGGGUUCAACUCCGCGGAAUCUCACCUUCGUGGGCA